GCUCAGGAUGAACGCUGGCGGCGUGCUUAACACAUGCAAGUCGAACGAAGCACUCUAUUUGAUUUUCUUCGGGAAUGAAGAUUUUGUGACUGAGUGGCGGACGGGUGAGUAACGCGUGGGUAACCUGCCUCAUACAGGGGGAUAACAGUUGGAAACGACUGCUAAUACCGCAUAAGCGCACAGGAUCGCAUGAUCCGGUGUGAAAAACUCCGGUGGUAUGAGAUGGACCCGCGUCUGAUUAGCCAGUUGGCAGGGUAACGGCCUACCAAAGCGACGAUCAGUAGCCGACCUGAGAGGGUGACCGGCCACAUUGGGACUGAGACACGGCCCAAACUCCUACGGGAGGCAGCAGUA
rnacentral:rRNA from 1 species